rnacentral:misc_RNA from 1 species
GAUGAAGAACGUAGCGAAACGCGAUAAGUAAUGUGAAUUGCAGAAUCCAGUGAAUCAUCGAAUCUUUGAACGCACAUUGCGCCCGCCAGCAUUCUGGCGGGCAUGCCUGUUCGAGCGUCAUUUCAACCCUCGACCUCCCCUUGGGGAGGUCGGCGUUGGGGACCGGCAGCACACCGCCGGCCCUGAAAUGGAGUGGCGGCCCGUCCGCGGCGACCUCUGCGCAGUAAUACAGCUCGCACCGGGACCCCGACGCGGCCACGCCGUAUAACACCCAACUUCUGAACGUUGACCUCGAAUCAGGUAGGACUACCCGCUGAACUUAAGCAUAUCAAUAAGCGGAGGA